rnacentral:rRNA from 1 species
AGAGUUUGAUCCUGGCUCAGAGCGUUCGCUGGCGGCAGGCUUAACACAUGCAAGUCGAACGGGCAUAGCAAUAUGUCAGUGGCAGACGGGUGAGUAACGCGUGGGAACAUACCUCUUGGUUCGGAACAACACAGGGAAACUUGUGCUAAUACCGGAUAAGCCCUUACGGGGAAAGAUUUAUCGCCAAGAGAUUGGCCCGCGUCUGAUUAGCUAGUUGGUGUGGUAAAGGCGCACCAAGGCGACGAUCAGUAGCUGGUCUGAGAGGAUGAUCAGCCACAUUGGGACUGAGACACGGCCCAAACUCCUACGGGAGGCAGCAGUGGGGAAUAUUGGACAAUGGGCGCAAGCCUGAUCCAGCCAUGCCGCGUGAGUGAUGAAGGCCUUAGGGUUGUAAAGCUCUUUUGUACGGGAAGAUAAUGACGGUACCGUAAGAAUAAGCCCCGGCUAACUUCGUGCCAGCAGCCGCGGUAAUACCAAGGGGGCUAGCGUUGCUCGGAAUCACUGGGCGUAAAGGGUGCGUAGGCGGGUUUUUAAGUCAGAGGUGAAAUCCUGGAGCUCAACUCCAGAACUGCCUUUGAUACUGAAAGUCUUGAGUAUGGGGAGAGGUGAGUGGAACUGCGAGUGUAGAGGUGAAAUUCGUAGAUAUUCGCAAGAACACCAGUGGCGAAGGCGGCUCACUGGCCCAUUACUGACGCUGAGGCACGAAAGCGUGGGGAGCAAACAGGAUUAGAUACCCUGGUAGUCCACGCCGUAAACGUGAAUGUU